AUUGUGCAUCAAACUUGUCCUCCCUCUAACUCUAACAGUAGCAUCCUGAUCGGUCUUGCAUCGGACCUUUGGAGUUUUGCUCUGGAAAUCUAGUAAUUACAAUGAAAUAGAGGCCCACCUAACAAUGCAUUCUGUCAUUAUUCUUCUCAUCCUGGUCAACCACUGUGCAGGCCUAAUAACCCCUACCGUCAAGCUCUGAGUAGUUAUGACCGAGAUUUGGCGGCGGUAUACAAAUCAUUGUGUAGCACUAUACACCGGGAAGAAAACACCCUUCUUCUCUAUCAUCUGCUCCAUGUCAACCAGAAUUUCAAAACGUUCCUGCUAGCACAGACUGACAUUGAAAAUUUGGUUAUACCGCUUUUAAAAGUAGUCUACAAUAACAAUAAUGUGGAAA
rnacentral:lncRNA from 1 species